rnacentral:lncRNA from 1 species
CAGGAACUGAACCCCGGCCGCCGAAGCAGAGUGCGCCAAACUUAACAACUAGACCAUGGGACCGGCCCCUUAAAUUUAUUUUUAUUGGUGUAAAUUGACCUUAUAUUGUGUAAGUUUCAGGUGUUCAUUGUAUUGAUUUGAUACAUUUACAUUUUGCAGUAUGCUUGCUACCCUAGCAUUAGCUAACACCUCUAUCAUGUCACAUAAGUAGAUUUCUUUUUUUGUGGUGAGAACAAUUAAGUUCUGGCUUAUUCAGAUUUUGAAAUAUAAUGCUGUAUAACUGAAAUUGAUAUACUAUUAUAAACCAAUAUUGCUUCAAUAAAUAAAAGAUAUCUAGUCUCUUAGGAACUUUGAAGUUUAUAAUAGAACAUUGUUGUCUAUAAUCACAAUGCUGUGCAUUAGAUCUCUAGGAUUUAUCUGGUAGUUACAAGUUUGUACCCUUAAAUAACAUAUCUCCAAUUCCACCACCCGCCAGUCUCUGGUAACCACCAUUCUGUUUGCUGUUUUUAUGAGUUUGGCUUUUUUAGAACCCACAUAUAAGUGAUAUCAUCCAGUUUUCUCAUACUGUAUCUGACUUAUCUCACUUAGUGUAACACCCUCAGGUCUGUCCAUGUUGCGGCAAAUGGCAGGAUUUCAUUCUUUCUCAUGACUCAGUGAUAUGCCAGUGUGUGUGUGUGUGUGUGUGUGUGUGUAUAAUGUCUACUUUAUCCAUUCAAGUAUUGACAGACUCUUAGGUUGUUUCCAUAUCUUUGCUAUUGUGAAUAAUGCUCCAAUAAGCAUGGGCAUGAGGAUAUCUUUUUGAUAUAUAUUUUUUCAUUUUCUUUGGCUAUAUAUCCAGAGGAGGAAUUGCUGGAUAAAACGGUAGUUCUAUUUUUAUUUUUUUAGGAAAUUUAAUACUUUUUUCCAUAGUGGCUGAACCUUUUACAUUCCCAUGACAGCGUAUGAGGGUUCCCAUAUCUCCACAUCCUUGCCAACAGUUUCUCUCUUCUCUUCUUGAUAAUAAACAUUCUGAGAGGUGUGAGAUGAUAUCUCAUUGUGGUUUUGAUUUGCAUUUCCUUGAUGAUUAACUACAUUGAGCAUCUUUUUAUGUUCCUUUUGGCCAUUGAAUGUCUUCUUUAGAAAAAAUGUCCAUUUAGUUCCACUGCCCAUUUUUAAAUCAGGCUCCUUGAUAUUUGUUAUGAAGUUGCAAGCGCUCAUUAAAUACAUUAGAUCAUAACUUCUUAUCUGAUGAAUGGAUUGGAACUAUUUUCUCCCAUUCUGUAGGCUUCUUUUCAUUUUUUUUAAUUGUUUUUUGCUGUAUAGAAGCUUUUUACUUUAAUGUAUUCCCGCUUGUUGAUUUUUGUUUCUGUUGCUUGUGCUUGUGGUGUCAUAUCAAAAAAAUCAUUGCCAAGAUCAGUGUCAAGGAGCUUUGCCUCUAUUUUUUCUUCUAAGAGUUUUAUGAGUUUAGUUCUUAUGUUAAAAUCUUUAACUCAUUUCGGGUUAAGUUUUGUGAGCAGUGUAAGUAACGGGUCUGGAGUUUUCUCUGCUUUUGUGGCUAGAUCUGCUGCACUCUUCUUGCUCCCUCUUGUGGCUGAAAUCCUAAACUAUUCUGUGUUCUCUGGUUUUUGUCGCUCACCAGGCUGGCUACUGGAAAUCUCUUUUUUGUUUUCCAGAAGGUGGCACUACUGCUCACGUUUGUGGUUUCUCCCUUUUCCAUAGGCUGUUUCCUUUUUUUCUGAGAGCACUCAGUUUACCAGAUUUUCUCUCCCUGCUACAUUCAGGAAUGUACACAAGGAGCCAGCUGCAGAUGAGGAGGAGGUGUGGAUUUAACAAUGGGAGCUUGUUGGUUCGCAUGGAUCUGGAGGGGAGAUGCUCUGUUGUGAACUGGCUUUCCAUUUCAGGAAGACUGGGCUUCAACAAAGUCUCUCUCAUUCAUGGUUGUCAUCACACUCUCCAGGCGUUAUGUGGCCAUAAUCAAGAUGGUUUUAGGAAGGUUAUUGGCUCCUUCUGGUUCUGCAUCCCAUACAAAGAUCUGUCUGCCUAUUACUGGAUGCACAGAUGAUAUCAAGCAAGUCCAUGUAAGCAGAUAGAAAUCACUCAUCUGUGGUCAUGUUUGUUCUUCUGGGACUCUAAGAUGAAAAAGAGGUGCAGCUUGUCCUCUUCCCAAUCUUUCUAGGUAUCUAUCUUGUGACCCUAAUCUGGAAUCUGGGUGUCAUCAUCCUAAUCAAGAUGGACUCACACCUGCACGCACCUAUGUACAUUUUCUCAGUUUCCUGUCAUUUAUAGACAUUUG